UGCCUAACCCCUAUGUGAAAGCGUAGGGUAUGGCAUAAAAGCGCUAUGAACAUAAAGAUCCCAUCAUCAGGGACGUUCAUAGCGUCAUACAGGGAAACCUGUGUGUAAGUCGCAAGGCUU
rnacentral:sRNA from 1 species